UUUCCGGUUGAUCCCGCCGGACCUGACUGCUAUCGGAUUGAUACUAAGCCAUGCGAGUCUUUGUAGUAAUACAAGGCAUACGGCUCAGUAACACGUAGUCAACCUACCCUAUGGACAAGAAUAAUCUCGGGAAACUGGGCAUAAUUCUUGAUAGAUCAUAAUGCCUGGAAUGGUUUAUGGUUAAAAUGAUUCGUCGCCAUAGGAUGGGACUGCGGCCUAUCAGCUUGUUGGUGAGGUAAUGGCCCACCAAGGCGAUUACAGGUACGGGCUCUGAGAGGAGAAGCCCGGAGAUGGGUACUGAGACACGGACCCAGGCCCUAUGGGGCGCAGCAGGCGAGAAAACUUUGCAAUGUGCGAAAGCACGACAAGGUUAAUCCGAGUGAUUUCUGCUAAAGAAAUCUUUUGCCAGUCAUAAAACCACUGGUGAAUAAGGGGUGGGCAAGUUCUGGUGUCAGCCGCCGCGGUAAAACCAGCACCUCAAGUGGUCAGGAUGAUUAUUGGGCCUAAAGCAUCCGUAGCCGGCUUUGUAAGUUUUCGGUUAAAUCCAUGUGCUCAACGCAUGGGCUGCCGAAAAUACUGCAUAGCUAGGGAGUGGGAGAGGUAGACGGUACUCAGUAGGAAGGGGUAAAAUCCUUUGAUCUAUUGAUGACCACCUGUGGCGAAGGCGGUCUACCAGAACACGUUCGACGGUGAGGGAUGAAAGCUGGGGGAGCAAACCGGAUUAGAUACCCGGGUAGUCCCAGCUGUAAACGAUGCAGACUCGAUGAUGCAUUGGCAUAAUAGCCAGUGCAGUGUCGCAGGGAAGCCGUUAAGUCUGCCGCCUGGGAAGUACGUACGCAAGUAUGAAACUUAAAGGAAUUGGCGGGGGAGCACCACAAGGGGUGAAGCCUGCGGUUCAAUUGGAGUCAACGCCGGA
rnacentral:rRNA from 1 species